GGAAGAGUAUCGAAGUGGUCAUAACGAGCUCGACUCGAAAUCGAGUUGUCCUUAACCGGGCACGUGGGUUCGAAUCCCACCUCUUCCGCCA
rnacentral:tRNA from 1 species